rnacentral:rRNA from 1 species
AGUGAACGCUGGCGGUAGGCCUAACACAUGCAAGUCGAACGGCAGCACAGUAAGAGCUUGCUCUUACGGGUGGCGAGUGGCGGACGGGUGAGGAAUACAUCGGAAUCUACUUUUUCGUGGGGGAUAACGUAGGGAAACUUACGCUAAUACCGCAUACGACCUACGGGUGAAAGCAGGGGAGCUUCGGACCUUGCGCGUUUGAAUGAGCCGAUGUCGGAUUAGCUAGUUGGCGGGGUAAAGGCCCACCAAGGCGACGAUCCGUAGCUGGUCUGAGAGGAUGAUCAGCCACACUGGAACUGAGACACGGUCCAGACUCCUACGGGAGGCAGCAGUGGGGAAUAUUGGACAAAGGGCGCAAGCCUGAUCCAGCCAUACCGCGUGGGUGAAGAAGGCCUUCGGGUUGUAAAGCCCUUUUGUUGGGAAAGAAAAGCAGCAGGUUAAUACCCCGCUGUUCUGACGGUACCCAAAGAAUAAGCACCGGCUAACUUCGUG